CUCUCGAUUGAUGGCUCAGUGAGGCUUCCGGACUGGCCCAGGGAGGUCGGCAACGACCACCCAGGGCCGGAAAGCUAUCCAAACUCGGUCAUUUAGAGGAAGUAAAAGUCGUAACAAGGUCUCCGUUGGUGAACCAGCGGAGGGAUCAUUACAGAGUUAUCUAACUCCCAAACCCAUGUGAACUUACCAUUGUUGCCUCGGCAGAACCUACCCGGUACCUACCCUGUAACGACCUACCCUGUAGCGAGUUGCCCGGGAAGACCUACCCUGUAGUGCGCUGCCGGUGGACUUCUUAACUCUUGUUAUUUUAUAGUAAUCUGAGCGUCUUAUUUUAAUAAGUCAAAACUUUCAACAACGGAUCUCUUGGUUCUGGCAUCGAUGAAGAACGCAGCGAAAUGCGAUACGUAAUGUGAAUUGCAGAAUUCAGUGAAUCAUCGAAUCUUUGAACGCACAUUGCGCCCAUUAGUAUUCUAGUGGGCAUGCCUGUUCGAGCGUCAUUUCAACCCUUAAGCCUAGCUUAGUAUUGGGAGCCUACUGUAUUGUAGCUCCUCAAAUCUAACGGCGGAUCUGUGGUAUCCUCUGAGCGUAGUAAUUUUUAUCUCGCUUUUGUUAGGUGCUGCAGCUCUCAGCCGCUAAACCCCCCAAUUUUUAAUGGUUGACCUCGGAUCAGGUAGGAAUACCCGCUGAACUUAAGCAUAUCAAUAAGCGGAG
rnacentral:rRNA from 1 species